AUGCUUUCAGCAAGCAGACUUCAACAGACUGACCGCUUCCAACGGGUAAAAGAGGGAGGGAAAAUGACACAGAGCAGAGAGGCGGGACUCUCUUUGAACUCAGAGGCAGGGAAGAAGCAAUUGGUUAGUACUGGAGAAACUGACAGUCACCCCAGCCCAGAAAGCUCCCUCUUAGCCAAAUCUACUAAAGGCAGCAUGCGAGAUUGCAAAUACUCCUACAAGUUUUGGGUUGUUUCCCCUGCAAGGUGCAAUUUCUUCCUUCCUUUUGGACUCUUGGAAGCAAGAAUCUGACACGGUCAAUCUGGAUUUCACAUCCACCAGUGCUCAAAAGGGAGAAAAAGGCUCUCCUGGAAGCCAAGGCAGCAAAGGAGAAAAGGUACUUUUCAACCUAUUUGCACCUGUGCUGGUUGAAAAAAAGGACGUUCCCUCUGAAUCCCAGCAAAUCUUGGGAAAGUUACUUUUUUGGACUAGAACCCCAGAUUACAGAGGACAUGCUGGCUGGAUGUUUUCCAGAAGUUUUUGUCAUCCAAAAAA
rnacentral:lncRNA from 1 species